AUAUAUAUAUAUAGAUACACACACACACACAGUCUGAUAACUUUAGACCACAUCGGGAACAAAACGGUAGCGGGUAGGGAUUCAGGAGUCUUUCUCUUGGGAUUUUGCAGGACAGGAUUUUUUCAGUCACGUGAUUGAGAUGUGACGGGAGUAUUUUCGUGGGAUGGGAUUGAUUCCUGUGUCACCAUCUAGUUUGUAUCAAGUGGACACGCUGACAGUUUAUUGUCAUUACUUUGGAUUCCUCAUGGGGGCGGCAGAAACUACGCACUAUAGCUUUAAACGUUUUUGUUUUCUUUACUUUGCCAGUUGACGAGGAGUGCCUGAAUGCGCCGUUAAAUUUCGCCAAGAGCUACAAUUUCCACUGUUCCUAAUAGUCCAGAUUGGUUAGAACGGUGAAGUUAAAGGAGCUGUACUCCAUGUUCAGAACAUUAAUAUAGUGCUAUGUAAAGAUAAAGUGGAGUAAUGGUGCCUAAACAGAGAAUGAAGUCACACUCCCUUUGUAAUCAGAACUUCUCUGUUCUUUGUUUUGAUAACCGGCCCUGCCUGCGUGCAUAUUAGUACAUGUGGUUGUGAAAAAAAACAUGGGUAUUUCACGUAUUGGUGAACGGUCCGUGAGAGCCAUGUGGAGGCAAUCCCAGCACACAGUUUAUCCAGUAUUUGGCGUAGAGCCCCUUUAAAUCUUAAAGAAUCAUUCUGUAUUUUUAUUUAUUUGUUCAGUCUUAUGUUAUCCUCGAUUUGAUAAUAUUAGUCAUUUUUAUUACAUUAGACGUUUGUUUCAUCACGAUUAAAUGUUAUUCAUCGCAGAUAUUUUGUAACUAACUUAUGUAAGGGAACAGUCCCAGAACCAAGUGUUAAUGCCAUCUUGGAUCGUUGUUACUCAUUGCGCCAUGUUUUUUUGUUUUAUUUUGUUUUUUUUACAUGACAGCUUCCAUGUAUAACCUCUUUCUAGCGUCUUAAACAGUUGUGCAAAAUGGAGCUGAUACUAUCAGCCAAAACUGGUUCAUUACUUUAACAGAAAGCCACAUAAUAUACUAUGUGUGUUUUUGCCAUGCAGGCCACAUUUUACAAGUACAUACUUUUAUUUUGUGUAAAUACUGACUGAUGUGAUUCUAGAGAACCUGCUAAAACUUGUAUAGUUUUUUGAAAACCAUCUAAAGGACACAAACAGAAUUCUUUCCUGACACUUUGCAGAUCUGUUUCUCUUCUUAAGACAGGAUUACAACAUUUUAGUGUUCUUGUUUAUAAUCAAACCAUGAUGUAUGAGGUGCUAGACCUAUUAUUUAAUAGGUUUCGGUUGCCCAGUCUUUGUAUAUAUUUUGAUCACACACAGAUUUUAUCAUGUAUAUAUCUAUAAAUAUAACGUGCAAUAACUGGUGUUUGUACUCCAUAAGGAAAGGUUAUCAUUCAAAAGAAGUUAUGUUGUGCUUUACUUUCCUAACACUGCAGUGUCUGAAGCUGCCGUACUGUAUUUGUUUUAAAGGUGUGUAAAGGCGUGACGAUUCUUUCUGAAUGCUUUACUUUGUCUUUCAUUCCCUCCUCGUUUGUGUUAGAAUUAUUCAUGCUCCUGCUAUCACUACUACCUUCUCAAUGUUCAUUAUCAUGUCCCAUGCUUUUUAUAAUGACAAUUGUGUAACUCCUCUUUUUCUAUUAAAACAUGAUCCCAG